GUUCCAACAUCGGACGGUCGAAACCAACAGGAGGUGCAGGUGAAGAGACCACAAGAUUACCCUAAGAAAGGAUGUCAAUCGCCAAGUGGACAGGGAAGUGGAGGACAGCAACGAAGCACAGGUAAAA